AUUGAACGCUGGCGGCAGGCCUAACACAUGCAAGUCGAACGAGUGGCGGACGGGUGAGUAAUGUCUGGGAAACUGAACGAUGGAAGGGGAUAACUACUGGAAACGGUAGCUAAUACCGCAUACCAUCGGAUGUGCCCAGAUGGGAUUAGCUAGUAGGUGGGGUAACGGCUCACCUAGGCGACGAUCCCUAGCUGGUCUGCGAGGAUGACCAGACACACUGGAACGGAGACACGGUCCAGACUCCUACGGGAGGACGCAGUGGGGAAUAUUGCACAAUGGGCGCAAGCCUGAUGCAGCCAUGCCGCGUGUAUGAAGAAGGCCUUCGGGUUGUAAAGUACUUUCAGCGAGGAGGCGUUACUCGCAGAAGAAGCACCGGCUAACUCCGGGCCAGCAGCCGCUGUAAUAC
rnacentral:rRNA from 1 species